GCCAUUUUAGGCAAUAUACGCUAUUCCGAUUGUUAUCGUGACGGAAAAUAUAGUUGAAUGAGAGCUCUUUCAACAACCCUAACUGUCUUAUUUUGUAAAAAUGAUGUUUUGAUUAUUUUUUUGUAUUUUGCAAUGAUGAAAUAUGAAUAAUUCACAUGUCAGACUUCAAAGAUUUUGUUAUUAAAAUCAGUGAGCAUGAAAUUUAAUAUGUUAUGAGUAGAUC
rnacentral:lncRNA from 1 species